rnacentral:rRNA from 1 species
ACAAUAAAUACUUAAGCGGGGCUAUUCAUAGUCUUGCUCUAGGAAUGAGUACAAUUUAAAUCCCUUAACGAUGAUCAAUUGGAGGGCAAGUCUGGUGCCAGCAGCCGCGGUAAUUCCAGCUCCAAUAGCGUAUAUUAAAGUUGUUGCAGUUAAAAAGCUCGUAGUUGGAUUUCUGGUUGGAGCGACCGGUCGGGCAUUGAUUUGUCUGCACUGGAGUCGGUUCCGUCCAUCCUCUCGGAAAGUGCGUAUGGCAUUAAGUUGUCGUGCGUAUGAUCCGGGUCUUUUACUGUGAAAAAAUUAGAGUGUUUAAAGCAGGCCUUCGCCUUGAAUACAUUAGCAUGGAAUAAUAAGAUAGGACUUGGGUCUAUUUUGUUGGUUUGCAGACCGAAGUAAUGAUUAAUAGGGAUAGUUGGGGGUAUUUAUAUUCCGAUGUCAGAGGUGAAAUUCUUAGAUUUUCGGAAGAUAAACUUAUGCGAAAGCAUUUACCAAGGAUGUUUUCAUUAAUCAAGAACGAAAGUUAGGGGAUCGAAGAUGAUUAGAUACCAUCGUAGUCUUAACCAUAAACUAUGCCGACUCAGGAUUGGUGAACGUUGAUUAAUGACUUCAUCAGCACUGUAUGAGAAAUCAAAGUCUUUGGGUUCCGGGGGGAGUAUGGUCGCAAGGCUGAAACUUAAAGGAAUUGACCGAAGGGCACCACC